AGGAAUCCAUAUAAAUAUCCAUGAUAACCCCACGUUUAUUUUUCAAUGUAUGAUUUGGAUGAAACAAGAGAAAGAGACUGACUGUUGCUGAGUCCCUGCUGCAGUCCUGACACAGCUGGAGACACCCUGCUCUCCUUAUUUUGUUGAUGCUUAUGAGGACCAUGUUGUCUGAGGAAGACAGUUCCCAUCCAACUCUGCCCCUGGUGUGUCACCUGCUGGCCUUGUCAACUCACACGAGAACCUGACAGGGACCCACCCGAGAAGAGGCCAUGGCUUGGAGCACCUGGUAGUUGUCCACAGUGAAGACCAGAGUUUCGUUGUCCUCAAGACUGACCUGGGGGGACGUGGCUGCGGGCCAGUGAGGAAGAAAGGUGAGACAACUUGAAGAGAAGGCCAGACAGGGAGCUUCCAGGUCAUAGACAGGUGACUCUCAGAGGGAGUCCUGUGUUGGAGACAAGCAUUCUGACCUGUAGCUGAUUGCAGGAGCUUUCAGGAAAGCAUCAGUGGGAAAUAAUAUCUAAAUGACAAAAGCAAAGAAGGAAGCUCCUGCCCCUCCUAAGGCCAAAGCCAAAGCAAAGGCUUUAAAGGCCAAGAAGGCAGGGUUGAAAUGUGUCCACAGCCCCCCA